AGGUGAAUUACACAUUAAUAUGUUUGGAAUCCGAAACACAAUAUAUUGUUUCAAUCUACGCCUCCAACGAAAAAGGUCUUUCUCCAACAAUAAACGACACGUUCAUAACAUUGAAGCACAUACCUGGCGAACAGGCAGAUUCUGACGUUGCAUUAAUUGGCGGAGUCGUCGGCGGUGGAAUUGUUGCAGUUUUAGUUAUCAUUGGAGUGGUCCUCAUUGUGAAGAAGUUCAGAACAUCAGCUAACCCAGCUGGACAAUCCGUAUCUGGUACAGACAGCCCUGGAUGUAAUGCAGCUCAACCUUACGAGGAUUUAUCAAAG